CAGCAGUCGCCGCGGGAACACGUAGGGUGCGAGCGUUGUCCGGAAUUAUUGGGCGUAAAGAGCUCGUAGGCGGUCCGUCGCGUCGAAUGUGAAAACCCGGGGCUCAACUCCGGGCUUGCAUUCGAUACGGGCGGACUAGAGUUCGGUAGGGGAGACUGGAAUUCCUGGUGUAGCGGUGAAAUGCGUAGAGAUCGGGAGGAACAUCAGUGGCGAAGGCAGCCCCCUGGGCCAACACUGACGCUCAUGCACGAAAGCGUGGGGAGCAAACAGGAUUAGAUACCCCAGUAGUCCCUGUCUCUUAUAC
rnacentral:rRNA from 1 species